AAAUGAUAGCUAAGKGGCAAAGGAGGUGAAGAUGCAGAAACAACCAGGAGGUUUGCUUAGAAGCAGCCAUCCUUUAAAGAGUGCGUAAUAGCUCACUGGUGGGCGUCUUCGCGCCGAAAAUGUACGGGACUAAGUUAUCUGCCGACGCUGUGGGAUACUGAUAUUUAUCAGUAUCGGUAGGGGAGCGUUCUGGAAUGGGUGAAGCGAGCUCGUAAGGUCUCGUGGACGUUCCAGAAGUGAGAAUGUCAGUUUGAGUAGCGAAAACAUUGGUGAGAAUCCAAUGCCCCGAAAACCUAAGGGUUCCUUCACUAGGCUCGUCCAUGGAGGGUUAGCCAGGUCCUAAGGCGAGGCCGAAAGGCGUAGUCGAUGGCAAACAGGUUAAUAUUCCUGUGCUUGAUUGAUCGCAGUACCGAGGGACGAAGGUGGUUCACAUUAGCCAAGAUCGGUAUUUGGUGUAAACUUGCGAGGCGUUGAUAGCAAGAAGAAAAACUUGUCUUGAGCGAAGCGGUGAUACAAUAUUAGUUUUGGUANNNSGUUUGUUCGCAGAUUUAUCAGCCUGAUAUUUAAWGUAAWGAAUCKUAWCUUCNGNCUAGGG
rnacentral:rRNA from 1 species